UGGGUAACCUGCCUCAAAGAGGGGAAUAGCCUCCCGAAAGGGAGAUUAAUACCGCAUAAUAUGUUUAGGUCGCAUGACUUUAACAUCAAAGGAUUUUCUUUUAGAAAUUCCACUUUGAGAUGGACCCGCGGCGCAUUAGCUAGUUGGUGAGGUAACGGCUCACCAAGGCAACGAUGCGUAGCCGACCUGAGAGGUGAUCGGCCACAUUGGAACUGAGACACGGUCCAGACUCCGUAGGAGG
rnacentral:rRNA from 1 species